GACGAACGCUGGCGGCGUGCUUCACACAUGCAAGUCGAACGGUGAAGCGCCUUCCUUUUUGGUGGGUGUGGAUGAGUGGCGAACGGGUGAGUAACACGUGAGUAACCUGCCCCCUUCUUCUGGAUAACCGCAUGAAAGUGUGGCUAAUACGGGAUAUUCUGGGUCUGUCGCAUGAUGGGUCUGGGAAAGAUAUUGUUUCGGUGGGGGAUGGGCUCGCGGCCUAUCAGCUUGUUGGUGGGGUGAUGGCCUACCAAGGCGGUGACGGGUAGCCGGCCUGAGAGGGUGGACGGUCACACUGGGACUGAGACACGGCCCAGACUCCUACGGGAGGCAGCAGUGGGGAAUAGUGCACAAUGGGCGCAAGCCUGAUGCAGCGACGCCGCGUGAGGGAUGGAGGCCUUCGGGUUGUGAACCUCUUUCGCCAGUGAAGCAGGCCUGCCUCGUUUGUGGGUGGGUUGACGGUAGCUGGAUAAGAAGCGCCGGCUAACUACGUG
rnacentral:rRNA from 1 species